UACGAAGGGUGCAAGCGUUACUCGGAAUUACUGGGCGUAAAGCGUGCGUAGGUGGUGAGUUAAGUCUGUCGUGAAAGCCCCGGGCUCAACCUGGGAAUGGCGAUGGAUACUGGAUGGCUUGAGUUCGGGAGAGGGAUGCGGAAUUCCAGGUGUAGCGGUGAAAUGCGUAGAUAUCAGGAAGAACACCCGUGGCGAAGGCGGCUCUCUGGGACGGUACUGACGCUGAGACGCGAAAGCGUGGGGAGCGAACAGG
rnacentral:rRNA from 1 species